AAGUCGUAACAAGGUUUCCGUAGGUGAACCUGCGGAAGGAUCAUUAACACGUAUCCAACGUUAAACCCCCCUGUGAACUUUUACACUUGCUCUCGAAGCUCGCCGGAAUUGCAAUCCCUGGUAAAUCAUUGUUGAACAGAUUUUGAUUCAGGGACCUCAGUUUGGUGAGUUAGAUCCGAGCGAUCGUUGCAAGUGGCCUGGUUUCCCCAAGCAGUCAGUGUCUGAAAGUGUCAUUGAUUGUGUAAGGAUAGCGCUUCUACGAUUCCUGUAGACCGUACACUCGGGCAGGAGCUUUGCCAAAGGGUCCCCAUGCCCCCUAAUAACCCCACAGUUUAAUGUGAAGCUCAAUGUAAUACAUUGGGUAAAAAAACCGAUGGAUAUCUUGGUUCUC
rnacentral:misc_RNA from 1 species